rnacentral:misc_RNA from 1 species
UACUCAAAGAAAGCUAUGACUGAUAUGGACAGCACUAAUCUCUAUGCUUACAUUUCCAUCAUUGCUCUCAUUGCCUGUAUUCCACCUGCCAUUAUUUUGGAGGGACCUCAACUACUGAAGUACGGAUUUAACGAUGCAAUUGCUAAAGUGGGCAUCACCAAAUUCAUCUCAGACCUCUUCUGGGUGGGAAUGUUUUAUCACCUCUACAACCAGUUGGCUACCAACACUUUGGAGAGGGUUGCACCCCUUACGCAUGCAGUUGGGAAUGUGCUGAAAC